rnacentral:rRNA from 1 species
UUAUAGUGGGGGAUAGCCUUUCGAAAGGAAGAUUAAUACGCAUAAGAUUGUAGUAUCGCNUGAUAUAGCAAUUAAAAGGAGCAAUCCGCUAUAAGAUGGACCCGCGUCGCAUUAGCUAGUUGGUGAGGUAAUGGCUCACCAAGGCGACGAUGCGUAGCCGACCUGAGAGGGUGAUCGGCCACAUUGGAACUGAGACACGGCCCAGACUCCUACGGGAGGCAGCAUG